UUUUUUUUUUUUUUUUUUUUUUUUUAGAGACAGUGUCUCACUCUGUCUCCCAGGCUAGAGUACAGUGUGCAAUCAUAGCUCACUGCAGCCUUGAACUCCUGGCCUCAAGCAAUCCUCCCACCUUGGCUUCCCAAUGUGCUAGGUUUACAGGCGUGAAAACAUUGUGUUGUGUGUGUGUGUGUUUUUUUUUUUUUUUUUAGACAGAGUUUCGCUCUUGUUGUCCAGGCUGGAGUACAAUGGCUUGAUCUUGGCUCACUGCAAUCUCUGCCUCGCAGGUUCAAGCGAUUCUCCUGCCUCAGCCUCUGGAGUGGCUGGGAUUACAGGCGCCCACCAUCACGCCCGGCCAAUUUUUUGUAUUUUUAGUAGAGACAGGGUUUCACCAUGUUGGCCAGGCUGGCCUCGAACUCUUGACCUCAGGUGAUCCACCUGCCUUGGCCUCCCAAUGUACUGAGAUUACAGGCAUGAGCCACCACGCCCGGCCAAAAACAUUUAAAAAAUGACUGUCCCUGCUCAAAUACUGCAGUAGGAAAUGUAAUUUGACAUAUAUCACUUCCAGAAAAAAACUUUAAAUCUUUCUAUAAAAUGAAUUUGAUACAUCAUCAGCAUGAAGUGAAGUUAAAAUCUCUUACAAAGUAAAUUCAGGUAUAUCAACAAUGAGAUCCAAAAGUAUCGGUUCAAGAUCAAAGACUCAUAUGAGGUAAAGGCAAAUAAAGCCCCUCAUGCUUUCAGACAUUUACUUGUUAUCCUUAAAAUGAUUAUUGUUCUAAGGUGCAAAUCUUAUCAUUCAGUGACCUAUUUGCUAUUUGGCUGUUUAUCUCCUUUAAAUAAAAUACCAUACAGGUUAUAAUGUACAUUUUAAAAUCAAAUAUGAAAGUACACAUAUGUGAACAAGACAUUAAUUUAAAUAUCAAUUAUAUUCAUAAUACAGAAGUCUAAGAAUGCUAUUUGGUCAUUUCAAUUAGAUGCUGAUAUAUUUGGUCAAGAAAACCCACAUUCCUAUCAGCCUAAGGCAAAUAGUAAAUGCCUCUAUUUUUAUUAAGUGGACUAUAAACAGUAGACAUUAUUGUUUGAUACUACUGGAAUGCUCUCAAUUAGAACGUACACUGAUAACAAAUAUGUCUUUCUAAUCUGGGUGAUAACCUCAAUGAUUACAUGGAAAUCUACAAGUAACAGUCUAUAACUUAAAGCAGUAGAGCACCUGGUAAUUGUCAUACAGUGCCUCUCUAUGAAUUUAGAACAUUCUACUUACAUUGGCAGUGGAGAGAAAAGACCCCUUCACACUGAGACUUCCUGUGCACCGCGCCUGCCGCCUGCCUCAGCUUAGGACAUGGUACAGUCUUCUUUGCUUUUGCCCUUCUCAUUCCCUCCUCUGGUAUCUUCUCUGCUUUCUGGAUUGAAGUGCCCUGGCUCUCUUCCUGGUGCCGACAAGUCAUCGUUCUCUAGGCUAUUGCUGUCUAAAGCUUUCCUGACGGUCUGACUUGGAUGUUCUGACAUCUCACACCUCUCUGU
rnacentral:lncRNA from 1 species